UAUUAGGUUGGUGCAAAAGUAAUUGUGGUUUUUGCCAUUAAAAGUGACGGCAAAAAACUGCAAUUACUUUUGCAUCAACCUAAUA
rfam:Pan troglodytes isolate Yerkes chimp pedigree #C0471 (Clint) chromosome 10, whole genome shotgun sequence.